GGGGGCGUAGUUCAGUUGGUUAGAAUACAUGCCUGUCACGCAUGGGGUCGCGGGUUCGAGCCCCGUCGCUCCCGCCA
rnacentral:tRNA from 1 species